rnacentral:misc_RNA from 1 species
CGCAAGUCAACAUAAACCAAAAAUAAGGGAAUCUCAAGCAAUUCAAUUGGCAAGCAUCUAUGCCAAAUAUCUAGCAGAAAGUAGAAUCGCUAACUGCAUUAUCCAUUAUAGGAAUGAGUUUGGGAUCAUGUAUCCAAAACCACUGCUGUGAUUGAAUUGAAGAUCAUUUGAAUUUCAAUCCAUUUCCUCAAAAUAAGAGGGUAAAUAUUUGCGUUAUAAAGCUUCUCUGCCUGUUUAAUACCAUUCUUUUUCUAUGUAUGACCUCUGAUUCACCUCCACUUUCCUUCACUUCAAGAAUAGUAACAAAUGGGAAGAGGAAAUAAUGAAAAACAAGGAGGAAUUCUUGAGGGAACAUCCAUAUUUACUGGAAAAGGAGGUCUCUCCCUCUGACUUUCCUCCUAAUUUUCUCUUUGGAGUUGCUACCUCUGCCUAUCAGAUUGAAGGUGGUUGCAAGGAAGGUGGUAGAGGUCCUAAUAUAAGGGAUGCUUUUUCACACACUGAAGGAACUAUUCUUGAUGGAAGCAAUGGUGAUGUGGCGGUGGAUCAUUAUCAUUGUUACAAGGUCAACGUCAGUGGGAUUGGCUAUGGUUGACUUGCAUUUUUCUUUGUUUCUUCUUUAUUACAAUGUCAUUUCUAGUUCAAUUCUAUAAACUGCAAACUUUCUGCAAUGCUUCUGUCUUGGGUGUUCUUAUCAUUUCUUCUUCAUUCUGUUCUUUUUAUAGGGGAGGCACCCAGGUGUGGGUGGGUGUUUUCUGGCCUUGUGCCCUUGUCCAUUAAUCUUUUCCCUGAUCAGAAUUAUUGUUUUGGGAAGACAUUGGAUUAAUCGCUGAGUUGGGGUUUGAUGCUUAUCAAUUUUCCAUAUCAUGGUCUUGCAUCAUACCUUGUUUGUGUUCCUCUGAAGAAUGUAAUUUAUAUUGGUUCUCGGUUUGGUCAGCAGUUGAGUAAGUAUAUGUUAAUUGUAAUUACAAGUGAACAUGGUUAAACAUGAUAAGUCAACCUUCACGUUGAAGGCAACUUAAGAAAUAUAUGUGAAGUGGCUUACCCUUUCUAACUUUGGCUUAGAGGUUGAUACACCAUGGGCCUCCAAAAAUCCUUUGGGCAGUUUGAUUUUUUAAAAUCUUGCACCCACUAAUUUUCUUAAGUUUGGCCCUGCUUAUUUAUUUUCCCCUCACUUAAAAUUUUUGGACUGCUAAUUCUGGAGUGGUGAUGACAAUAUCAGAGUAUCAAUUGAUCUUUUAGAUGGAUUUAUUUUUAACUUUUGCUGGAAGCUUAGGAAUGAAUGAUGAGUGUAAUAGUGAAAGACAGUGAAUGAGAUGAUGAGUGUAAUGGUGAAGAUUAUUUAUUUUUAGUUUUCAUGUUAUUCAAAGUUCAAUUUCUUUUUAUUUUUUUAGACUUUCCCAGUUUAAUAUUUAAUUGUCAAUGCUAGCAGUUUCACUUUUUAGUUCUUCUUUUUCUCCUUUCCCUUUUCUUUUUCAUUUGUUGGUCACACAAUCUAACUUUUCUGAUCAGGAAUUUGAAUUAUGUCUGUACCUUCUAUAAUGCCUUUCUUUUGUUGAUAUAUUUGUUUCUUUAUUCUGCCAGAUGGUUUAGGAAUCAAAGUCAAUGAAGAAGGGAUUUCAUUGUAUAACAAUAUCAUUAAUGCUCUUCUUGAAAAGAGUAUGAAGUUGGUUGUGCUCAAUUCUGUCUAUGUAGCAAUAAUUCAUAGUUAACCACUUUAUGUAGGUAUUGAGCCAUGUAUAACUCUGUAUCAUUGGGAUCUUCCCUUGCAUCUUCAAGAGUCAAUGGGAAGGUGGUUAAAUAAAGAAAUUGUGUAAGUAUUGAUGUGAGUGAAACUAGUUUGAUAUUAAGCAACCAUAUAUGUCAAUUCUGGAAACAUAGGAUUUGCAAUGUGACUCCCAAAUAUAUAUUUUGAGGAAAAUUGUUUUGAUGAAUUGUUUGCUUGUAUGCUAUUAUAAACUUUUGAACGAAUUAAUGUGGAUUAUGCAUUAAGGAUUCUAUGGAUUCUUUAUUUGGAAAACAUCCAGAAAAUACUUUGCAAGCCAUGGAGACACUUGCUUUGCAAGUUUUGGUGAUAGAGUUAAGAAUUGGAUUACAAUAAAUAAGCCCCUCCCAACGGCGGUUAAUGGGUAUGAUACUGGAUGGUGGCUCCUGGAAGACGUGAACAGUCAGAUACAGAACCAUACUUAGCUGCACACCACCAGAUCUUGGCCAAUGCCACAGCUGUUUCUAUAUACCGUAGCAAGUAUAAAGACAAUCAAGGAGGACAAGUAGGUUUAGUGGUGGACUGUGAAUGGGCAGAAGCUAAUUCAGAUAAAAUUGAAGAUAAAGGUGCUGCUGCAAAGCAUCUCGAGUUUCAGCUUGGAUGGUAGUUCUCCUUGUACUCUUUUCCAAUGAGUCUGUUAUGCCAUUUGGUUUCUGAACUAUUUAUCGAUCAAUGAUUCAUCCUUACGCACAACAUUUUCAAAUUUUCUGUAUGUUUGUGAGUUUUCAAGGAUCCAAAGAAAGGGUUGGGAUUGGGGUUGCCUUUACUCUAGGAAGGAAGGUGAUGUGGAGCAUUGGGUGAAGAAGCAAGUCAAACA